UGUGGAGGUGUGUGGUGGGGUGUGGAGGUGGUGUGGAGGUGGUGUAGUGGUGUGUGGAGGUGUGUAGGGUGGUGUAGUGGUGUGUGGAGGUGUGUAGUGGUGUGUGGAGGUGUGUGGUGGGGUGUGGAGGUGGUGUAGGGGUGUGUGGAGGUGUGUAGUGGUGUGUGGAGGUGGUGUAGUGGUGUGUGGAGGUGGUGUAGUGGUGUGUGGAGGUGGUGUAGUGGUGUGUGGAGGUGGUGUAGUGGGGUGUGGAGGUGUUGUAGUGGGGUGUGGAGGUGUGUGGUGGUGUGUGGAGGUGGUGUAGUGGUGUGUGGAGGUGUGUAGUGGUGUGUGGAGGUGGUGUAGUGGGGUUUGGAGGUGGUGUAGUGGGGUGUGGAGGUGGUGUAGUGGUGUGUGGAGGUGGUGUAGUGGUGUGUGGAGGUGUGUGGAGGUGGUGUAGUGGGGUGUGGAGGUGGUGUAGUGGUGUGUAGUGGUGUGUGGAGGUGUGUAGUGGUGUGUGGAGGUGGUGUAGUGGUGUGUGGAGGUGUGUAGUGGUGUGUGGAGGUGUGUGGUGGUGUGUGGAGGCGUGUGGAGGUGGUGUAGUGGGGUGUGGAGGUGGUGUAGUGGGGUGUAGUGGGGUGUGGAGGUGUGUGGUGGGGUGUGGAGGUGGUGUAGUGGGGUGUGGAGGUGGUGUAGUGGGGUGUGGAGGUGGUGUAGUGGGGUGUGGAGGUGGUGUAGUGGUGUGUGGAGGUGUGGAGGUGGUGUGGUGUGGAGGUGGUGUAUGGAGGUGUGUGAUGGGGUGUGGAGGUGGUGUGGAGGUGGUGUAGUGGUGUGUGGAGGUGUGUGAUGGUGUGUGGUGGAGGUGGUGUGUGGAGGUGUGUGGUGGUGUGUGGAGGUGGUGUGUGGAGGUGGUGUAGUGUG
ensembl:lncRNA